CAGAAUAGAGAAGAUGGCUGACAGGCUGGAGGCCCUCAUUGACCCUUUUGACCUGGAUGUUUUCACACCGCAUCUCAACAGCAACCUCAAUCGCCUGGUGCAGCGAACUUCAGUUCUAUUUGGGUUGGUGACUGGUACAGAGAAUCAGUUCGCCUCCCGGAGCAGCACGUUCAACUCCCAGGAACCCCAUAACAUACUGCCACUGGCCUCCAGUCAGAUCAGGUUUGGACUCCUUCCACUGAGCAUGACAAGCACAAGAAAGGCCAGGGCAACCGGUCGGGGCAUCGAAAGCCAAACCCAGGACGCCAUCCAUUAGGCCUGCCGGAGCCCUCCUGGGUUGGCCCCCCGGCACUCUCCAGAGUAGGUGACCCAACGGCGCAUCCUGGCUCUCUAUUCAGACAGCUUGCAAGUGAGGAAGACGGCUCACCUGCACCUUCAUUGUUCAAGCUCGCCUGGCUCUCUAGUAUGACCAAGUAGCAUGGAACAACGCCCAGGCUCUAAAUAAACCCUACCGCACUGUUUGUCCU
rnacentral:lncRNA from 1 species